AGUAUCUAGCUUGACUGGAGCAUCUGAUUGGGUAGUGUAGCUGCACUUGACUGUGUGGUGCACCUCCCAAAAACUUUACUUUGAGGAAAUUGGAGUGUUCCAAGCAGGCACAUGCCAUGAAUCUAUUAGCAUGGAAUGAUUGAAUGAGCUUGUGUUGUAUUAUGUUGGUUCCUGGAGCUAUGGCAAUGAUGAGUAGAAACGCUUGGGGGCAUACAAAUUCAACUGUCAGAGGUGAAAUUCUUGGAUUU
rnacentral:rRNA from 2 species